rnacentral:lncRNA from 13 species
UCAUACAGUCACACUUCCCCACUGGGGACUUCGAAUAAAUUGUUCUAAAUUUUAGAAGAGAGGAGUACCAAAGAUUUAUAUAAUGAAUUGAUUCUUCCAAACGAAGAAUAACUCUAGCAAGCAACAUUUCCUUUGAAAAACUACCAGGAAAUUCACAAGUAUCAAUUCAAUAUCUUGUUAACAGUUCCUAUGUAAUAUCACUGCUUGACAUGAUAUUGACUUGCUUUUUAUCAUGUUUGAGCUCCAAUUGAGAGUUUUGAAAUGUUGAAAUAACAUCAUCAUAUGGAUAAUUACUAGAUGUGCUAUUUUUGCAACUGUUUUGAAGAGAAAUAAUUAGACACAGUGUACCACUUACUUGUUUUAUUUGUCUUUGAUCUUGCUCUGUAGGUCUUAUAAAAAAUUAAAUGAAAAUGCACUGUUAGAAAACCCACAGAACAGAUCAUAAGUUUUCAACAAACAAAUAUUCAGGGGAGUGCCUUUGACCUAUAACCCUGAAUUAAAGAAAAUAAUCAUUGAACAAUAACGUAGUGCUUAAGAAUGUGGGGACUUAGACCAGAUUGCCUCUCCUUUUAUCAAUAAUCUUUCUAAGGUAAUUUUUGUUGUUCCUCCUAUCAAAAGGUAGAAUCUAUUUCUCCAUCCAUUGAAUCUGGGCUGACCUUGUGAUUGGCUUUGUGUAAAAAGGAAAGUUGUGACACUUUGGUCUUCCAUGCUUCCUCUUAUUCUUUCAGUAACCUACCCCUGCAGCCCUGACAAGCCUGGGCCAGCAUGCUGAAGGACGAGACACCAUGUGGAGCAAAAAAGAACCAACUUAACUGAACUAUCUUAGACCGGUGAGCUCCCAGCUGACUUGGCAGUUGGCCACAGAGGCAUAAGGGAACACAGCAGAAUUUAGCCAAGCUUGACUGAAAGAAUCGUUGAGCUGAGUCCAGCCCAAAUGGCCAGCAGACAGAAUCAUGAAAUCUGGUUGGAUAUUGAUGCUUACAUUAUGUUAAAAGCAAAUCAAGGGCAUACUUAUUGAUGCUAUGAAUACUAUGAACAUAUGUGGUGCCAUUCAGAAUUCUGAAAGACAAUCUCAUCUGCUGGAUUUCUGAAAGAUCAAAAUCUCCCAAAUCUUCUAACAUCUAAAAUUCUGAACAUCACCAUCCAAAAGAUUAAAAUCCAAACGUUGAAACCUUGAAAGCUGAAUUCCAAAGAAAGAAUGAACGGGUUUUGGAGUUAUACACAGGUAAGUUGCAUCAUGUCUGUUGCACCAUGUUAGGUGGAACUAUUACUUUGUUAUUGUCCUUAUUUGGAAAUUAAAUAUGAUGUAGGGAGUUGUAUACAGGUGCCAAGCUGAGAAGGGGUAAAUUUGUGGACUUAAUUUUAAGUGUCAACUUGACUGGAUUAAGAAAUGCCUAGAAACCUUAAAUAGUAUUAUUUUGGGUGUGUCUGUGAGGUUGUGUCCAGUGCAGAUUAGUAUGUGAGUCUGAGUGAAGUAA